AAGAUGAUUCGGUAUCCACACCAAUUGGAAUAACUGAAAUGGGUAAAUAAUAUUAAUUCUACAACAUUUCCUAUGGCAAAGAGGUGGUUUCCUAAAGCACAGAAACCAUUUGAAGGAGAGCAUGUAAAUAGCAUCAGAAAGGGAGCCUAAUAUGCUCCCCACAUGACCAAACCACAAACCUUGCAGAACAGAAGUGCAUGCUUAAAGUGACACUAUAGGUACUUAGACCACUUAAUCUCAUUUAAGUGGUCUGGAUGCAUAGUCCCAGGUCUCUUAACCCUGCAAAGGUAAUUAUUACCCAAGGGUAGAGUAUAGAAUAUUUAAUACAGUUCUAACCUAAACACCUGAGGAAAGGGAUUUGGUGGUAAUUAUUUCAGACAUAAAGGUAGACAGAUAAUGUAAUAGAGCUGAAGGCAUGUACCGUACCAAUAGUGGAGACCGUAUUUCGAGAAGGGUAUUGAUACUUUGGAGAAAGUUCAGAGAAGGGCUACAAAACUGGUACAUGGUUUGCAGGAUAAAACUUACCAGGAAAGGUUAAAGGAUCUUAACAUGCAUAGCUUGGAGGAAAGACUAGAUGGGGGAUAUAAUAGAAACAUUUAAAUAUAAAUAGG